GAUGAACGCUGGCGGCGUGCCUAAUACAUGCAAGUCGAGCGAACAGACGAGGAGGUUGCUCCUCUGACGUUAGCGGCGGACGGGUGAGUAACACGUGGAUAACCUACCUAUAAGACUGGGAUAACUUCGGGAAACCGGAGCUAAUACCGGAUAAUAUAUUGAACCGCAUGGUUCAAUAGUGAAAGACGGUUUUGCUGUCACUUAUAGAUGGAUCCGCGCCGCAUUAGCUAGUUGGUAAGGUAACGGCUUACCAAGGCAACGAUGCGUAGCCGACCUGAGAGGGUGAUCGGCCACACUGGAACUGAGACACGGUCCAGACUCCUACGGGAGGCAGCAGUAGGGAAUCUUCCGCAAUGGGCGAAAGCCUGACGGAGCAACGCCGCGUGAGUGAUGAAGGUCUUCGGAUCGUAAAACUCUGUUAUUAGGGAAGAACAAAUGUGUAAGUAACUAUGCACGUCUUGACGGUACCUAAUCAGAAAGCCACGGCUAACUACGUG
rnacentral:rRNA from 1 species